rnacentral:lncRNA from 1 species
GAAAAUGGUAUUUAUACCAAUUGAGCCCAAUUGAGCCCAGCCCAGAAGACCAGCGUAAGCCCAAUUGUAAGAUUUCAAUUUAGAUUUCUCAUAAUAUUAUAACAUAUUAUAAUUUAUCCCACAAUCAAAUGCCCUAUCAAGAUUUCAAUUCCUUUUUCUUCUCAAAUUUCCUUCUCUUUUCAAUUCUUUCUCUCCUCUCACCACCCAAUUCCUCCUGCUUUGAUCCACGCCCUGGCCGCAUGCUGCCUCUGCCAUCGGAGUUUAGUUUUUACUCUAAUCAUCUCUAUUCAUCUCCUGCUUCAAUUCGCGCCAUGAUUUCAGGUAACUUCAAUUUUUUCUCAUUUCAUUUCCCAUCUUUUCCUUUUCUUCCAUUUAGGUUACCUUCCCCUCUCCUCUGCUUUUUCUUCCUUUCAUUCCCUUCGGCUUUCCUCAUUUCUUUGCCUUGUAUUUUUUUUUUUUUUUUAAAUUCUUCGUUUUUGUCAUUUCCUAUUAUCAAUGAAAUUAACUAUGAUGAACUAUUUCUCAUUCAAUAUAUAUAUAUAUAUACGCGUUUCUGUGUUUGAUCUCGCAUUCUCUUUGAUUCUAUUUAAAUUUAUACGACAUCAACUUAUCAUCAAUAACAACAACAGCUACAGACAUAAAAAACAUCACUUUUUAUUUGUUCAUUUGCAGGCAUACAAUCAAAGUUGAAACAUAGUUCUACUCUUACAGACUUGUGUCACUAUACUUUUGGUAUAAAAGGGAAAAAUAGAACGCAAUUCAGAGAGGAAAGGCAAAACAAAAGUCGAACAAGCUUUAUGUAAUCAGCUCGACGAAAAGAGACACCAGAACUGUAGUUGGAUCUCCAAGAACGAUACUAACAAUGGUCCCGAUGAAGACCUUUAGGAUUCUCCAAUAUUUGUUCCCUUUUCCGCCUUUU